rnacentral:lncRNA from 1 species
AGAGAGAGAGAGAUUGGGUGUCUUUUUUGGUUGGUCGGUCCUUGGAUGUGAAAAAGCUCCAGCCCAAAAAUUUUGAGGAACAAAAUAUACUAAUAAUUGGGUCCUUUUUUUUCUUUCUGAUUUUGAUUCGAUCUUUGUGAGUACAGUUUUUGAUUAGUAACAUUCCCAGUGUUUAUUUGUCUUUGGAAAAAAAAAUUCAGAAAUGAUAGAAGAUAGGAGCAAGUGAGCCUGUUUCUAGUAAUAAAUGAGCCUAACACAUCACUUCUGUACAGUAUAUGUAACAUGGCAAGAAAGAAGAAAAUUUGAUGGAGAAAGUUGGCUAUACAACCAUUAUGUUGUCAAAAACCGUAAAAGGCCAGAGAACAUAAUUAGAAAGAAUAGCCAUUGGCUACCUUGGGAAAAAAGGUGACAAUGAGGCAGGUCUGGUCUGUUACAAAUUUAGACACUGGUGGUCAAUGAAUGAUCUUUGAUGGACACCAAGUUGGAUAACCAGGUAGUCAAAUAAGCAUCAAACCUAAGCCCUUUAUUAGCGAUUAGAGUUAUGGCCUUAGUAUGGAAGGAAUCUCACCUAUACCAAAUAACUGAAGUUAUUAAAGCUGUGUAGCUAGCUAAAUUUCAGAAUUCUUUAGCACCUCUUCAUCUUCUCCUCCUUGGUCUUUCUAGUGAAGUCUUUUUGCACAGAAAUAUAUGUUUUAAAAAGAGAUCAUAUUAUUAUUUUGUACUUCAUUUUUCGUUUAUUGUUUGCAAUCUAGAAUAUCUUGUCUCAUUCACUCUCUCUCUCUCUCCCUC